rnacentral:rRNA from 1 species
AUUGAACGCUGGCGGCAGGCUUAACACAUGCAAGUCGAGCGAGCGGCGGACGGGUGCGUACUGUCUGGGCAACUGCCUGAUGGAGGGGGAUAACUACUGGAAACGGUAGCUACUACCCCAUACCAUCAGAUGUGCCCAGAUGGGAUUAGCUAGUAGGUGGGGUAAUGGCUCACCUAGGCGACGAUCCCUAGCUGGUCUGAGAGGAUGACCAGGCACACUGGAACUGAGACACGGACCAGACUCCUACGGGAGGCAGCAGUGGGGAAUAUGGCACAAUGGGCGCAAGCCGGAUGCAGCCAUGCCGCUGGUGGGAAGAAGGCCUUCGGGUUGUAAAGCACUUUCAGCGAUGAGGCGUUACUCGCAGAAGAAGCACCGGCUAACUCCGUGCCAGCAGCCGCGGUAAUAC